UAGGGAAUCUUCCGCAAUGGACGAAAGUCUGACGGAGCAACGCCGCGUGAGUGAAGAAGGAUUUCGGUUCGUAAAACUCUGUUGUUAGGGAAGAAAAAAUGUAUAGUAACUAUAUACAAAAGAGACGGUACCUAACCAGAAAGCCACGGCUAACUACGUGCCAGCAGCCGCGGUAAUACGUAUGGGGCAAGCGUUAUCCGGAUUUACUGGGUGUAAAGGGAGCGUAGGCGGCAGUACAAGUCGGGAGUGAAAACUCGGGGCUCAACCCCGAGACUGCUCUCGAAACUGUACAGCUAGAGUGCAGGAAGGGCAGGCGGAAUUCCUGGUGUAGCGGUGAAAUGCGUAGAUAUCAGGAGGAACACCGGUGGCGAAGGCGGCCUGCUGGACUGUAACUGACGCUGAGGCUCGAAAGCGUGGGGAGCAAACAGG
rnacentral:rRNA from 1 species